UACGUAGGGAGCUAGCGUUGUUCGGAAUUACUGCGCGUAAAGCGCGCGUAGGCGGCUUCGCAAGUCAGGGGUGAAAGCCCGGGGCUCAACCCCGGAACUGCCUUUGAGACUGCGUCGCUAGAAUCCGGGAGAGGUGAGUGGAAUUCCGAGUGUAGAGGUGAAAUUCGUAGAUAUUCGGAAGAACACCAGUGGCGAAGGCGGCUCACUGGACCUGUAUUGACGCUGAGGUGCGAAAGCGUGGGGAGCAAACAGG
rnacentral:misc_RNA from 1 species